rnacentral:rRNA from 1 species
GAAAAGACCGGCGGCAUGCUACACCUGCAGUCACGAGAUCUCGGAUCUAUGGCGCACGGGUGAGUACGCGUGGGAACUACCUUUAGUACGGGACAACGUUGGAAACGAACGCUAAUACCGUAUACGCCCUCCGGGGGAAAGGUCAGCCGCUGAAAGAGGGGCCCGCGUCUGAUUAGCUUGUUGGUAAGGUAAUGGCUUACCAAGCUUCGAUCAGUACUGGUCUGAAGAUGAUCAGCACACUGGGACUGAGACACGGCCCAGACUCCUACGGGAGGCACAUGGGGAAUAUUGGACAAUGGAGGCAACUCUGAUCCAGCAAUGCCGCGUGUGUGAUGAAGGCCUUAGGGUUGUAAAGCACUUUCAACGGUGAAGAUGAUGACGGUAGCCGUAGAAGAAGCCCCGGCUAACUUCGUGCCAGCAGCCGCGGUAAUACGAAGGGGGCGAGCGUUAUUCGGAAUUAUUGGGCGUAAAGGGCUCGCAGGCUGCUUGAACAGUUAGACGUGAAAUCCCCGGGCUCAACCUGGGAACUGCGUUUAAUACUAGCAAGCUAGAGAAAUAGAGAGGAA